CUCCUAUUUUCUUAUCUCUCAAAAUAGGAGAAUUACGGCCUGCUGCUAGAGUGUUUGAUCAGGAUAAAUGAUUUGUUUCUAUAAGAUGCCACGUACAGUCACAAGCUCAGUGAGAAAUGGGCUGUCACCUCUUCAUCUGCAACUCAGUGCUCGACAGGACAUCGGGGCAAAGCCAGUCCGUAAUUUGUUUGUGAUGCAACUGUCCACGUGGGUCAAAUCAUGGUGCCCCUCUUAAACCUCCAAAAAAAACCAAAGUUGAUUUUCUAUUUUGCAACUUGCCAUCUCAACAUAAGUGCAGAAGAGUUAACAUCGUGAAAGAUCAGAGCCCGGAGAAUAGGCUCUCCUGGAUAUUUCAGGCUAAAGGCAACUUUCUUUUACAAAAGGAUCUGAGGAGCAGGAGCAAGGAACGCAGGGAGAGAUUCAGGAAGACAUCUGACUGUGUUAAGGGACGACAGUCACAGCCACACGGGGAGCGAGGACACUUGCAGCAAAGUAAAACGACUUCACAACUAUUGCAUCAGAGCUGCAGGUGUGAGAGAGCCUAAGCCUGUCUCAGAGUGCAGGGGACAAGUGGAAAGGAAUGUGUAAGAAUGCUGGUGACUGAGUUAGAAGCAUGCUUCGAAGCUGUCCAUGUCCUUGCCAUCCAGAAGCGGAGCCUGGGAGCUACCGAAUUUCUCCAGAAUGCGGUUUACAUUCAUCUUCGACAGACGUUUCCAGUAAGGAUGGGGAGCAGAAGAGAAAACCCCCUGCUUCACAGUGGAAGCUGCUGUUUUGUGCAAAACUGACCAAAGUUUGGAGACCAGUCAUCAGCGGUGCUGGCAAAUGAAGAGACUUCGGGAUUGGGUGGGGCACUUGCUGCGACUUCCAGGUGACCUGCUGGCUGGGGGCUGUGAGGCGGGCAGUAGGUUUGCAGGGUGACCCGGGCAUAAUCCCUGGCUCUGAGGCUGCUGGUCUGACUAGCAAACCUAGGCACCCGCAGUCCUAAUGGGGCAUCUCGGGAUGUGGCCUGGGACACCUGCUGAGCUGAGGGUGAGAAGAGGGCUUCCCUGAGGGGGUGUCAUGCGGAGAGUGGGAACGUGUUCCUGCAGGGGAGGAAGAGCCUCUGAGCAGGGUGCUGGAUGCACAGGCAAGACCAGCCUGAGCACGGAGGCUUCUGGGAGCCAGAAGUCAUACAAUGGCCCGAACCGCCUUGUUCCUGCGAGACUGCAGGGAAAAGAUGCUGAAAAAGUAGGCAAGGGUCAGACCCUGUGGUGUUUUAUGAGUGCCAGUAAAGGACUGGUCAGGCAGGCACGAGAGAACCCUGUGGGCGUCCCAGCUGGGGCGUCACGCCGGAGGGAGGAGCAGAGUUAUAGACUUUGCCACUUAUUAGCUGUGUGACUUUGAGCAAGAUCACCCCACCUCUCUAUAUAUAUAUCUUCGUCUGUAAAGUGACAGAGUGACAAGCUCGUGUAAUCAGAAGGCUUAGUUUAGCUCUGAUCCUCUGUGUCCAGUCCUGUCAGUGCUGCCCUGUGAGGUUCUGCAGCGGCUGCUCUUACCCUGAGAAGGGAGGGCGUAGAGGGACAUUGUAGUGCCCGAGGGCAGGAAGGGGUUGCUUUAAAAGCAGACAUGUUGCCGCCUGCAGCUGCAGGCCUGCAGGCAGUUUGGUUGAAGGUCCUGCAGGGGACUUUGGAGGCCUUAGGUCGUGGAGAGUACUUUGGACGCC